AGAGAGAGACAUGCGCGCAUAUCAAUAAGCGGAGGAAAAGAAACUAACAAGGAUUCCCUUAGUAACGGCGAGUGAAGCGGGAAGAGCUCAAAUUUGAAAUCUUCAAGGUUCUACCUUGACGAAUUGUAGUUUAUAGAAGUGUUUUCUGUUAGUGGAGUGGCAAAAGUUCUUUGGAAUAGGACAUCAUAGAGGGUGAGAAUCCCGUAUUUGGUCAUUCCUCCUAGCGUUGUGAUACACUUUCAACGAGUCGGAUUGUUUGGGAAUCGCAGUCCAAAAUGGGUGGUAAAUUUCAUCUAAAGCUAAAUAUUGGCGAGAGACCGAUAGCGAACAAGUACCGUGAGGGAAAGAUGAAAAGAACUUUGAAAAGAGAGUUAAACAGUACGUGAAAUUGUCAAAAGGGAAGCGUUUGACACCAGUGUUGUUUUUCCGAAAAUCAAUUACGAAUGUUUUAGUUUUUGAGGAGUUAUGACUUCAUCGGCUUGCUCCUUUCUUUACGAAACUUUCUUAAUGCACUUUUCGGUUAACAAGUCAACAUCAAUUUCUUUUGUUGUAAAAGGGUAUGAGGAAGGUGGCUUUCUUUUCGGAGAAAGUGUUUAUAGCCUUGUGCCUCUGCAAUCGGAGAGAUUGAGGUCUGCAGCGUAGAUCCUUCGGGGUUAGAUACAUUUGUGCUAAGUUAUAGCUUUUCAUAGACAACUUGUUGACUAUGUUUAGUCUUGUAGCUUACUCGCUUAUGCUAUUUUACCUACGCUUAGGAUGUUGAUAGUCACAGCGUGUAC
rnacentral:rRNA from 1 species